CCUCUGCAAGGUUUUCAGUUCAGCUGCAGUGUGCCUCACACCAGAGAACUGCCUAGCGCCCAGUCCAGCCCUCUGCAAGCACGUGGGCUUAGCCCUGAGCGGUGCCGGUGUGAGCAGACACCCGGGCUCCCGAGGGAAGCGCUGGCCACACGCAGGACCUGCUGCAGACAUCAGGCUUGCAACAGCCUGUGGACGCUGCUGCUACUUUCUCGCCUGCAACCUCUGGGGACGAGCAAGGAGCAGGGUAAGGCGUUUCCCAUCCAAUGCACCAGCCCAGAGGAGGGGGAGGGCGCGCAGGGGAGGGAGCUGCCGGGUGACAGGCGGUCACAGGUGCUGCUGUUGCCUCUGAGUCACGGGAGAGGCGUCUCGGCGCCCCAACCAGCUGCUGCUCCCCCUCCCCCUCCUCGAGGCUGCUGCGGCUGCCAGCCCAGACAGAGCCAACUCCUCACAGGCGGCCUUGCUUGCAGGAGGAGCAGCCAGCGAGCCGCGCAGCCGGGGGAAGGAGCAGACGCCCCGGGAAGCCUGUUUUCUCAGGUUUUGGAAGUAACAGAGUACUUGGUCACUAAAUCCUCACCUGAAGGACGGUUGUAUGCUUAAACUUGGAAGGCUCUACGUUGGGGUUCUUCAGCUCUCUUAAUUCCCAGGUUUUCUUUCCCAGAAGAAAUGGACCUUGUGUGUGAGAAGCGUCCAAGUCAAUAAUGCGACGACGAUAACAUUGAAAGUCUGCUGGAGAAGAAUCGCUAAUUCUUAUAAGUGGUUUUUGGUUUUUUUUCAUCCCUUAUAAAACAAACCA
rnacentral:lncRNA from 1 species